rnacentral:lncRNA from 10 species
AAGCACCCAGACAUCAGAGCAUCUGUAUUGCACCAGCUGGAGGCCAGCCCCUUUAUCCUCAUGCUUAUGUGUUCUUAGGAUACAUAAGCACUUGGAAAACCACUUAGAGGGAUUACCAGCCAAGGUACCACAUAAUGCAGCUAGCCACUAUUACCAACAGAGACCUAACACCAGUACAUGUUUUGUUGAGAAAAAUUAAAAAGCUACUCAGCUGUAAAAGCCAUUUCCCACUCAAUUGUUGGCAGCCUCAAAUUGCAGUUAUGUGGACCCAAGCAAGCAGUAACACACACGCAUACCCUUCAGUUAAAGCUCAAGAGCCACAUGAUUUAGCUUUGAGUCCCAGCAAAUAACUAGAAAGGUUUUCCUUUCUUUUUCUUCUUCCAGUUGGUCGACAGGUAUAACAAGUUGACUGGGUCUGCAGUCAGCUCCAUCAGAGAGUGUGAAUAACAGAGCAAAAGGCAGAAAGAUUUUAUGUGUCUGGCGAACAGAGCAUCCCCAGGGAAAUCUUCAGAGGUUGAAAACAUUUUUCGGAAUUACUGCAAUAUACUACCUUUGUCAAAGGUGCUUACAGUGAUUGAAACAUAUUAAUUAAGUUUCCUUCCUGACCUUUGGGAUUGGGACUGUAAAGUAGCAUUAAAGCAGAUUUGUAGAAGAUAACAAAGGGGCUGUUAUCCAACCAGUGCUGACCCAAUCAUGCAUGCAUAGGGUCUCCUUAUCACCAUGCUUUUUUCUCCACAGUCUGUAUAGCCAGAGAGAAGUCAGGCUAGGCUUAUAUUCAGGUACUUUCUUCCGCUCUCUAAAGUUUGAAGGAUAUUGUAAAGCUUAUAGUAGGGUGGGGAAAGGGGGUCUUCAAAGACAUGAAAUGGCAAAAAAGAAAUAUGAAAUUUGGAGAGGAGCAGUAUAGUGAAAAUUGCUCAUGGCUUUUCUUACCAAUUGGUUUUUAGCAAUGAUGAUCUCUACAAAUAGUGUUCUCAGUCAUUUUGAAUGGAGAGAUGAACUAAUACAAUUCAUUUUUAAUCAGUAUUUAGGAAAACUGCCAGAUUGCAGGAAGCCAAAAUUGGUUGACUGUUAGUCUUUCCCCUGGAUUAACAAUCAUCUCUAAAUGGAUAACUUCCUUGUCUGUGCCUCAAUUUCAAUGUUCUCAAUAGACCUCAUAUGGCAUUUCCUGUUGAAAUAGUUCCUGAGCUCUCUGGUGAAUUUUGGAGGUGUUUGAGAGGUAGAUCAUCCUCCUGUUCAUGAGCCCCUGGCCUUUUGUGAGUAUCCCUUACACUCUUCAGGACCCUUCCUCCCACAGCACUGCCCUCCUGCCAGGGAACCCCACUGCGCUCGGUCCUGCAGGCCCUGACCUGGCCUCACUUGGGGAUGGACUCCUCAUCUAACAAGAAGGAAAGUUUCCUAGUUGAGAAAAGGAGUGAACUUUGGGAUUAAAGCUCUUCUUAUUUCCUUGACUAUGGCCAGAUUGUUUAACUGAUUUCAUUUCUUUUCUCUUCCUGAGACAUUCAGUCCUUACAGAUGUCCUGCUGUUUGGGUUUCCAAAUUACACUUCUUACACUGACUACCCAGAGCAUAAAUUCUGUUGCCACAUGGAUGUCCUGGAUUGAACCUGGCUCUAACGCUAGUAAACUUUGGGUCCUUAGCUGAAACCCCCCAAAGGCUGAGAACAAAAUGAUUGGUGCCAAAUAACCUCCACAAUCUAAAAUAAGAAGCCAGGCCAUAUAUGCAGGACUUGCAAAAGAAGUAUUCUGGAAAUUUCCUUUGGCAACCCCUAGCAUAAGAACUGUCUCAAGGAUAUUUAAAAGGUUGGAGAGCCAAAAAAGAGGACUACUAUUUUUUGAGACUUCCAAUUUCUUUGGAGAGAGCUAUUAGAAUGGUAUGGCAAUCACCACCAAUUCUGACUUAACACACACACCUCACUGCCCUGACAGAGGAGAGCAAAGUGUACUUAUCCCUGACCUCAAGCCAAGUAAGUGGAGAUGAAGAAAACUACUCAAAGAAAUUGGCAAUCUAUGAAAUACAUAGACUGAUGCCAUCUUUAUUUCAAGAAAAGUUCAAAUGUAGGACAUUGUGGUGGCUUCAUUGGUCAGCAGCUGCACUCAUCCCAUGUUUCCCAGGAAUUAAUUGUAGGGCUCAAACUGGGAUUCAGCUUGGAUCCCACACAAAAAGAGCUGUCUAGAGGGAAGACAAGACCCCAACAGAGUCGACAGACCACUGGGUGCCCAUGGUCUGGGAGGAAUUAUAAGCAGACACCUAGCAGAGAACCUCAGGAAAUGUGGCUGGAGGUUGCCAGUGGGAAAAUCUUUUAGAAAUCCAUAAAAGCUCCUCAUGAGAUAAUGAGUCAGCUUUGGACAACCACCAGGCCCUGAAAUCAACAAAGUGAGAUCAUGAUGGUAUGACAGUACUAGCAUGUUAAAUCUUUACUGCCCCGAACGUCUCUUCCUCCUUUCACUCCCACCCCCACCCAAGCCACUCCCAAACUGAAGGAGUCAAAGGCAUCUUAUUAUUGUAUGGUGACAUAGGAGCUUUAGCCUCAAAUGAAGCUUGGAGUCCUGAUUACCAUCAUGGACUGGCAAUUUUAAUUCUGAAGUAAGAUGGUUAUUGCAUCUAGAAGUAUGAGGGAAUUUUUAUUAGCUAAAAAUAAUAUAGCCACUGGAGAAGCUAUGAAACCUGCUCAAGAUUUUAUUCAAUGCCCAGGGAAGAAAUUGUCUACACAGCUGUUUUAAAGGAGCAGUGUAUUUUGUUUUCUUCUCACAUUCUGAAUCUCACAUAUUUGUUAUAAUCUUUACACUUAGAUUGUGUUAUCUUUUUAGUCCAGUAUAACAUAAUGAUUAAAGGUGCUACUUGUGAAGAAAGAGUUCCUAGAUCCACCACCCACAGCUUGUGUCAACUUGGGCAAAUGACCUGGUCAUUCCAAGCUUUCUGCUCUGGAAAGUGGAAAUAGUAAUUGUACUUACAUCAUAGUGUUGAUGUGAGGGCUAAAAUCAAAUUAUGUAGGCAAAUCCCUUAGUAUUGCAGCUACCAUAGUGAGUGCUUG